rnacentral:rRNA from 1 species
UUUCGAAUCAUUCACAAUGGGCGAAAGCCUGAUGGUGCGACGCCGCGUGAGGGAUGAAGGCCUUCGGGUCGUAAACCUCUGUCACCGGGGAAGAAACGCUUCAAGUUAAUAGCUUGAAGCCUGACUUAACCCGGAGAGGAAGCAGUGGCUAACUCUGUGCCAGCAGCCGCGGUAAUACAGAGACUGCAAGCGUUAUUCGGAUUCACUGGGCGUAAAGGGUGCGCAGGUGGCCGUGUGUGUGAGGCGUGAAAGCCUGGGGCUUAACCCCAGAAUUGCACCUCAAACUACAUGGCUAGAGCAUUGGAGAGGGAAGUAGAAUUCACGGUGUAGCAGUGAAAUGCGUAGAUAUCGUGAGGAAUACCAGAGGCGAAGGCGACUUCCUGGACAAUUGCUGACACUCAGGCACGAAAGCGUGGGGAGCAAAAGGG